rnacentral:rRNA from 1 species
UGGGGAAUAUUGGACAAUGGGCGAAAGCCUGAUCCAGCCAUGCCGCGUGUGUGAAGAAGGUCUUCGGAUUGUAAAGCACUUUAAGUUGGGAGGAAGGGCAGUAAGUUAAUACCUUGCUGUUUUGACGUUACCGACAGAAUAAGCACCGGCUAACUCUGUGCCAGCAGCCGCGGUAAUACAGAGGGUGCAAGCGUUAAUCGGAAUUACUGGGCGUAAAGCGCGCGUAGGUGGUUUGGUAAGUUGGAUGUGAAAGCCCCGGGCUCAACCUGGGAACUGCAUCCAAAACUGGCAAGCUAGAGUACGGUAGAGGGUGGUGGAAUUUCCUGUGUAGCGGUGAAAUGCGUAGAUAUAGGAAGGAACACCAGUGGCGAAGGCGACCACCUGGACUGAUACUGACACUGAGGUGCGAAAGCGUGGGGAGCAAACA